rnacentral:rRNA from 1 species
CGAUAACGAACGAGACCUUAACCUGCUAAAUAGUUAGGCGCUCCUUUGGAGGGUCGACAACUUCUUAGAGGGACUAUUGGCAUUUAGUCAAUGGAAGUUUGAGGCAAUAACAGGUCUGUGAUGCCCUUAGAUGUCCUGGGCCGCACGCGCGUUACACUGACGGAGCCAGCGAGUACUUAACCUUUGCCGAGAGGUAUGGGUAAUCUUGUGAAACUCCGUCGUGCUGGGGAUAGAGCAUUGCAAUUAUUGCUCUUCAACGAGGAAUUCCUAGUAAGCGCAAGUCAUCAGCUUGCGUUGAUUACGUCCCUGCCCUUUGUACACACCGCCCGUCGUUACUACCGAUUGAAUGGCU